rnacentral:rRNA from 1 species
UACGGAGGGUUCGAGCGUUAUCCGGAAUUACUGGGCUUAAAGGGUGCGUAGGCGGCUGUGUAAGUCAGGAGUGAAAGCUUGCGGCUCAACCGUAAAAUUGCUUUUGAUACUGCACGGCUGGAAUCAGGAUGAGGUCAGCGGAAUGUGGCAUGUAGCGGUGAAAUGCAUAGAUAUGGCAUAGAACACCAAUUGCGAAGGCAGCUGGCUAGACCUGUAUUGACGCUGAGGCACGAAAGCGUGGGGAGCGAACAGG